GCACAUUUUUGGUACGCUGCUAGAGGGAUGACUCGGUUCGAAACGCCGAAGAAGGACGUGACAAGCAACGAAAUGCUCCGGCGAGUCGCACGUAGGCUUUGAACCGGAGAUGUCCGAAUGAGUCUUCUCUUUGAUGGGCCAGUCAUGGCCAGGGAACGCAGGGAAUUGAAGCGUCUUAGUACCUGUAGGAAACGAAACCAAUUGGGAUGCUGUGAGUAUCAGCGAGAAAAAGCAGCACAGUUCAAACUGAAUCCCCUGCAGUAAUGUGGGGGAGAUGUAGUGUAGCGGACUUUCCGUAGGGCCGUUUUCCUGAUCUGAAGUCUGCUGGAACGCAGCACAGAACAGGGUGAAAGUCCCGUAAGAGACUGGAGAACGGCCUGGGGAAGUAUCCCGAGUACUGCUCCUUGGAAAUGGAGCGGGAAGCUGGGGGGCAUUAACCUCCAAAACUAAAUACGUUUCGAAACCGAUAGCAAACGAGUACCGUGAGGGAACGUUGAAAAGCACCCCUAACCGGGAGUGCAAAGAACCUGAAAUCUAGCAGCUUUAGUGGGGUAGGGCUCUUCGGAGUUCUACCGUGCGUUUUGGAUAACGAGCCAGAGAGUGCAUCUCGGUGGCGAGGAUAAUCUGUAAAGGAGCAUCCGUAGCGAAAGCGAGACCCCGCAGCUUGCAAGGGGGAAGGUAUGAUAAGUGCCUUAAGUCACCGGGUUGUGACCUGAAAUCGGUCGAUCUAUUCCUGGGUAAGGUGAAGCGGGGGUAAAACCUCGUGGAGGCCUGCAGAGGUUCUGCGGACAAACGUUCUUCUAACUUGGGAAUAGGGGUGAAAAGCCAAUCGAGACCGGCGAUAGCAGGUUCCUGCCGAAAUUGACCUUAGUCAAGUCUCGGACGAGAUCGGUAGGGUUGUAGAGCCACGGAUAGGGGGUUUAGGCGGGGAAACCUGUCGGUCCCUUGUCCAACUCCAAAUGCCCUCCCAUCGCAGACUUCGGGAAACAGGGGAUCUUGGGGUAAACUUGAUCUCCGAGAGGGGAACAACCCAAUCUAUGGUUAAGGCCCCUAAACGCCAGCUCAGUGAGAAAGGGUAAACGGUGUUUAUGACCUGAGACAGCAAGGAGGUUGGCUUAGAAGCAGCCAUCCUUUAAAAAGUGCGUAACAGCUUACUUGUUGAGAUCAUAAGCCCGGAAGAUUGACGGGUCUAAGCUGGUUGCCGAUACCAUAGACCACGAAAGUGGGGGUAGGCAGGUGUCCUUUUUGGGUGGAAGCUUUCUCUUAAGAGGAAGUGGACCGGAAAGGAAUAAUUAUUCUGGCAGUAGUAGGAACUUAGCAGGGUGAGAAUCCCUGUCAUCGAAAGGGCAAGGGUUCCUUGGCAAUGCCAAUCAGCCAAGGGGUAGUCGGUCCUAACCUAACUCCUAACGGAGUUACGGGAAAGGGAAAGUGGUUAAUAUUCCACUACUCUUUCAGUAUGUGCGGCAACGCAAGCUCUAUUCUUGACGUUUUGGAAGAGGCCAACCCAUCCCGUCGGGUGGGUUAAUGUAGACAGGUCGCUGGAGUAUCGUAAUGAUGAGAAAGCGACCAAACUGCAGAUGAGCAGGCCUAUGGUCUGUUUGGCUGGUUUCUGGAGCCCCUGAAAAGAGAAUAGAGAAAAAUCUGAAGGAACCGUACCCAGAACCAACACAGGUGCCCCUAGGUGAGAAGCCUAAGAUGUGAGAGUGUAAACUCGUUCAGGGAACUCGGCAAAUUAGUCCUGUACCUUCGGUAGAAGGGAUCCCUGCGUUCGUAUCCGUAUGGGUGCGAUUGCAGGGCGCAGUGACAAGGGCGGUCCGACUGUUUAACAAAAACACAACUUUCUGCUACGCCGUAAGGCUGUGUAUAGAAGGUGAUACCUGCCCAGUGCCAGUACUUCAAACUUCGGUUCAACGGAGCUAAGAGCUGGUAAACGGCGGGAGUAACUAUAACUCUCUUAAGGUGAAUACGUUGCCUUAAGUCCCAAUGUUAAACGGACCCAUUCAAGAAGCUGGGAUAAUAAUCUGGCUAUAUGCUGGAACAUCUUGAUGAACGUUUCUAGUAACAUUUUUUGGUGACAAAGAAUGUAUCUAAAAAUGAAACGGGAAAGACAAUCAGCAGGAAAGAUUUCUCUCGUGAGAAAAAUCCUCAGAGACUGAAUGCCGGAAAUCCGUAAAGGAUUAAGAUACAGUCCGAACACAGCAGCGAUGUUGUGAGAUCAGCAGAAAUGCCUGAUCCCAUUCUUGAAAAAGAAUGUGUAACAAAAUGAGCGUAAUACCUUGUCGGUUGAAUGCCGACUUGCAUGAAUGGUAUAACGAGAUCGCCACUGUCCCGAGCGAGUGUCUCCCGAACACACCGUCCUGGUGUAAAGGCCAGGGUUCUCCAGUGGGAAGCGAAGACCCCGUGAAACUUUACUGUAGCCUGUCGCUGUGGUACGGUUCUGGUUGUAUAGCGUAAGUAGGAGCCGUUUGAGGCCAUCUCCGUCAGGGGGUGGUUUAGGCACCAAUGUAACACUACUCUCUCAGAACUGUAUCACUUACUCUGCAAAGAGGACACCGAUUGGUGGACAGUUUGGCUGGGGUGGCACGC
rnacentral:rRNA from 1 species